UAACGUUGUGGUUUAAGAGAAUGCCAUUUAAGUCUAUAUAAAAUAAAUAAAUAUGGCUCCCAGAAAAGCUUCUCAGAAUUAUUGAGAGAGGCUGCCAACCGCCUCGACGGGACGGGGUAUCGGCUCUAAUUCAGGACAUCCUGGCUUGCACAUCAUUUUGAUUCAGGAGAUAGAUGUACCAGGAUAAGUGUGAAGAACCAGGGCCCACUAACUGUUGAUCAUCCUGUAGCUGGUCUAUACACCGUUGUGGGUGUGACAGGCCAUAAUGUCCAGCAGAGCAGGUAGCCUAACCACCAACUCUUCUCUAUAAGGUAUGGAGGCUGACUAUGUCAGCUUAGUUUACACACAAUGUAUGUACUGCUUUUAUUAUAAAGGUUGCCUUGUGGGAGAGAUCAGGAUGUCAGGCCAGACUACAAUUUCUCUUACUACAGGUGUGUUUGUAAGGCAUAAGUAAAAAGGGGCAUUGAUUUGGAUUGGAUGGUAAAUGGGUAUCCAGACUGUUUGUGGUCUCCAUAGGUCCCAUGUCACUGAUUGUAAGGGGAGGAGUGUUUACCAGUGUGAUGGCAAUACGUAAUAUCAUAACAGCAUGGACACCUAAUCAUCCCCAGCUUCCAAUUGGUUGAUAUUCUCUCCUCCUGUAACUAUUUCCCAGGUUGAUGCUCUAAAUUAUACUUUUUUUUCAGGCAACAUACCUGGUAAAUAAAAAUCUCACCUACAAAACAUUUCAUUCAUUUAUCUUAAUUGCUCUAUUUAUCUUUAAUGUUUCAGUCCAUCCCAACACUCACCACAAAGGUCCUAUCUCUUGUUUUUUCAGAGCUCUGAUGUUGCAGACUACCAAAGGACAGACAAGGCCCAUUGCAACGGUUGACUGCCUGGGGCCCUACACUCUGUCCCCAAUUCUGGCCACCAGGGUUCUGGAUCACCAUGUUCCACCGUGGGUCCUGACUACUGAGAACACUACCGGGCUAAACAUGCUCAGAGACACAUGUCACUUAUCCUUCUACUGAUACCAAACAUGCAUCUGUGUAUUCAACUAUUCCACAGUAUUACUUAGAUACUGCAUACCACAUAGUCUCCAACACCCCCGUCUCAGUCCUUAGUUUUUAUGCUGCGUUUGUGCCGGGGGACAAGGGUCAGUCUGAAUUCUGAAGUAUCCUUUUGGAGGAAUGCCCCUGAUAAUUACUGUUGUGUCCUGUUGAAUCUUAAGAGAACCUAAGUCCUCGGACUGUGUUUGAGGGUUACCUGGCCUGAUGCCUCCUAGUUGUCCCUGCUCAAAGUCCACCUGGUUGUGUUGCAGAUCUACACAAUGAUGAUGGGCCACCUGGUCACCCAUCUUUGUCCACCUGGUUGUGCAGCUGAUCUGGAUUCUGACCCGCCAGUAAUUGGAACAUGCUAAAAUAUUGGACCAAAAAGGUAAUGUAUUCUUAUGAAUUUCCCCUAGAGCCCUCAAACGCUGUCUACUCUCUAAGUUUCUUCUUAGGUUCCGUUCCCACUAGUGCCAAUGCAAAAAGGGUUCUGUAAAAUUAAUUGGAUGAACAGAUAACACCAGUGGGUGAGUGGAACAAUUUAUAAUAUGAGAAUCACAUGAAUAACUGGACCUGUAUACCACACUUAUUUUGGGGUCAUGAUUCUUUCAUAAAAUAUAAUAUCACCAACAUUGUAAAACUGUGGCAGAACAAUUAAAACUCCCCAGUUGAAAUCCUGCCUCGGUCUGAAAUAAAAUUGAUUA